GGCCCCUUAGUUCAGUGGUCAGAACGUACGAUUCCAAGGUUUGUCUAUCGUAAGGUCGUCCGUUCAAUCCGGGCAGGGGUCA